UCCACAAGCUACUGGGAAAUGACAAGUGACAGAUCAGAGGCCAGGAAGGCGCCAGGGACUUGUAAUUCGAAGUCGCAGAGGAGAUGUGGAACCUGGUUGUCAUCUCUGGCUUGCAGAAAGCAAGGAAGCCAAUGCGAAUGAUAUACAAGACAUAGAAAUCUGCAAGCUCCAAAUUGCAAAACAAUUCGUAGAGGUGACGUCAUCCAAAUGAAGGUGAAAUCUCCACUUCUUUUUAUAUCCCUGCGGUUUUUGUGACCGUCCUGUGGAA